AAGGACACUGUUGAAAGCCUAAAAGAGAAGAAGUUUCUAAGCUUCUAAAACACCGGAUGAUGUUUUCUAGAUUUGUUUGAAGUUACCACAUGAACAAUGUCAAUAUUGUACGGUGUCUACUGUUUUCGACCCUGUUAUAAAAAAUAAAAAAUAAAUACAGUGAUCAUGUUACACAUAUUAUCAAAAAACGGAACCACAUGGUUUGUCACACUUGGAAACUACCUAAAUUAUGCAAAAUUCAAAAUACCACUGCCCAAAUUUGCAGUUUAGGAGUGUAUAGAUGAUGCUUUAAAAUCUGCAUCUUGAUAUGUAUAGCAUCGUACUCCUAUGGGAGCUGAUCCGUACACAACAAGAUUUAUCCAUACACAACAAAUUUUAAUAAAUAGACAAUUUUAACCUUUUCUCUAUUUAACCAAAUUUUACACUUUACCCCUUGCUGUGAAGCCACAAAGAUGUACAGUAAACGAUCAAAAAACUAGAACUUCAUUCCAAAUAAGUUCACAUUGAUGUUUGGAUUUGAAGACUGGAUAUAAAUUAGAAAAUUUGAUAACCAUAGACUGAUACAAUAUUGUGCAAGAAACUAUACAAAAUUAGAACAUUGAUAUUAUACAGGGACGAUCACAAAAUAGAAUCAUGAUUAAGCAAUUAUAAAUCAAUUCAUGAUUAUAUAGGAAAUGAUUUCAAAUCAGUUCACAGUUCCAAAUUCGUGCUUUUGCAAACUAGAUAAGAGACGCAUUGAGGUUGCAAUUGUACUGGAACGAUCAGAAAAUUGAAUCCAUAAUUAAUCAAAUCAAAAUCAGUUCAUGAUUUUAGAAGAAAAGAUUGUAAAUUAGUUCACAAUUCCAACUUAGUGCUUUUGCAAAUAAGAUAAGAGACACACUGAUACAGGGAAACGGUCAAAAUUAGAAACAAAAUCGCAAUUGUAACGAAAAUUAGCGCGUACCUAUGAAGCAAGCCUGAAGCAGUUGAUGAACGACGGCAGUGGGAUAAGCCGGAGGCUACAGAGACGAUGAAGCAAGCCGGAGGCGGCAACAAGGUGAAGCAAGCAGUGGACGAUGAUUGAAUUGAAUCCGUAUCUUAUCG
rnacentral:lncRNA from 1 species